UACGUAGGUGGCAAGCGUUGUCCGGAAUUAUUGGGCGUAAAGCGCGCGCAGGCGGUCUUUUAAGUCUGAUGUGAAAGCCCACGGCUCAACCGUGGAGGGUCAUUGGAAACUGGGAGACUUGAGUGCAGAAGAGAAGAGUGGAAUUCCACGUGUAGCGGUGAAAUGCGUAGAGAUGUGGAGGAACACCAGUGGCGAAGGCGACUCUUUGGUCUGUAACUGACGCUGAGGCGCGAAAGCGUGGGGAGCGAACAGG
rnacentral:rRNA from 1 species